AACGAACGCUGGCGGCAUGCCUAACACAUGCAAGUCGAACGAGACCUUCGGGUUUAGUGGCGCACGGGUGCGUAACGCGUGGGAACCUGCCCUUAGGUUUGGAAUAACUCCCCGAAAGGGGUGCUAAUACCGGAUAAUGUCUUCGGACCAAAGAUUUAUCGCCUUUGGAUGGGCCCGCGUUGGAUUAGCUAGUUGGUAGGGUAAAAGCCUACCAAGGCGACGAUCCAUAGCUGGUCUGAGAGGAUGAUCAGCCACACUGGGACUGAGACACGGCCCAGACUCCUACGGGAGGCAGCAGUGGGGAAUAUUGGACAAUGGGCGAAAGCCUGAUCCAGCAAUGCCGCGUGAGUGAUGAAGGCCUUAGGGUUGUAAAGCUCUUUUACCCGGGAUGAUAAUGACAGUACCGGGAGAAUAAGCUCCGGCUAACUCCGUG
rnacentral:rRNA from 1 species